rnacentral:rRNA from 1 species
UAUCAUGUGCUUUGUGGCCUGGGGUACACACGUGUUACAAUGGGCAGAACAAAGGGCAGGGAAGCCGCGAGGCUAAGCCAAUCCCACAAAUCUGUGGACAGUUCGGAUCGCAGUCUGCAACUCGACUGCGUGAAGCUGGAAUCGCUAGUAAUCGCGGAUCAGCUUGCUGCGGUGAAUACGUUCCCGGGCCUUGUACACACCGCCCCCCGCCCACGAGAGUUUGUAACACCCGAGUCGGUGAGGUAACCUU